rnacentral:rRNA from 1 species
AGAACCUGAAACUCUGUGUUUACAAGCACCGAAAGGACGUCAAGGUCCGAUCGGGUACUUUUUGUAGAACGGUCCGGCGAGCGUAUGUAACGAGCGAGGUUAAGGACUUCAGGUCUGAAGCCGAAGCGAGAGCGAGUCUGAACAGGGCGCACAGUUCGUUGCAUAGGGCCCGAAACCGGGUGACCUAUCCAUGUCCAGGUUGAAGUGGAGGUAAAACUCCAUGGAGGACCGAACCGACCUCCGUUGAAAAGGCGGCGGAUGAGGUGUGGAUAGCGGAGAAAUUCCAAUCGAACCCGGAUAUAGCUGGUUCUCCCCGAAAUAGCUUUAGGGCUAGCGUCAUGUUAGAUUACCGGAGGUAAAGCACUGAAUAGGCUAGGGGCCGAGAGGUUACCGAACCUUAUCAAACUAAGAAUGCCGGAUAAUUGAUGCAUGGCAGUCAGACAGUGUGAGAUAAGUUUCAUUGUCAAAAGGGAAAAAGCCCAGACCCACAGCUAAGGUCCCGAAACACGUUUAAGUGGAAAAGGAUGUGGAGUUGUAUAAACAACCAGGAUGUUGGCUUAGAAGCAGCCAUACAUUAAAAGAGUGCGUAAUAGCUCACUGGUCGAAUGAUUCUGCGCCGAAAAUGUAACGGGGCUAAAACGUGUACCGAAGCUUGGGAUUCCGCAAGGAAUGGUAGGGGAGCGUCGUAUGAGGGGUGAAGUCACAGCGGAAGCGGUGGUGGACUUCAUACGAGUGAGAAUGCCGGAAUGAGUAGCGAGAAUUAUGUGAGAAUCAUAAUGGCCGAAAGCCUAAGGUUUCUGGAGGAAGGUUCGUCCGCUCCAGGUAAGCCGGGAGCUAAGGUGAGGCCGAAAGGCGUAGCCGAUGCACAUACGGUAGAAAUUCCGUAGCCACCGAAAAUUUAAGUAAGCUGACACUUUGAAAGGGCACAUCCCGGGCGUUGGUAGCCCCGGGCGAAAGGGACCGAAAUUUAGUAGGGAAGUGUGUUUGGACGAAGGCGAGAAAAGGCUUAUGGAUAUCCAAGGUGCCCGUACCGCAAACCGACACAGGUAGGUAGGAAGAAAAUUCUAAGGCCAGCGGGAGAAGGGUUGUUAAGGAACUCGGCAAGUUGACCCCGUAACUUCGGAAUAAGGGGUGCUCAGGAAACUGAGCCGCAGAGAAUAGGUCCAGGCGACUGUUUAGCAAAAACACAGCUCUAUGCUAAAUCGAAAGAUGACGUAUAUGGGGUGACGCCUGCCCGGUGCCGGAAGGUUAAGAGGAGGAGUGAGAGCCCCGAAUUGAAGCCCCGGUAAACGGCGGCCGUAACUAUAACGGUCCUAAGGUAGCGAAAUUCCUUGUCAGGUAAGUUCUGACCCGCACGAAUGGCGUAACGAUCUGGACACUGUCUCAACAGCCCACCCGGCGAAAUUGUAGUACCGGUGAAGAUGCCGGUUACCCGCGACUAGACGGAAAGACCCCAUGGAGCUUCACUGCAGCUUGAUAUUGGAUUUCGGUAUUUCAUGUACAGGAUAGGUGGGAGGC